ACUAGGGGACUGGCUGGCGGAACUCCAGAGGACAAAGACGUGAGAACCGAGAACUGGAAAGAGGACUGGUUUAAGUCCCAGUCCAAGGACAGAAGACUGAUGUCCCAGCUCACAAGCAGGCAGGAAGCAAAUGGGAGUCCUUGCUUUUUUUUCAUACUUGGAAGCAAACUGGUAAAAUUCCAGUGAACAUCCUUGGGGAUAAUUUCAGCUGACCAAGUUGGGCUCAUUCCAAGGAAGAACUCAGGAUGCAGAGAUUGGUCAGGAAUGAACACGUGAUCCAAGUCAG